ACGAUGGAGAGUUUGCUCCUGGCUCAGGAUGAACGCUAGCUACAGGCUUAACACAUGCAAGUCGAGGGGCAGCAUGAACUUAGCUUGCUAAGUUUGAUGGCGACCGGCGCACGGGUGAGUAACGCGUAUCCAACCUUCCCAUUACUCCGGCAUAGUCUUGCGAAAGUGAGGUUAAUUCGGGAUGGUAUCUUAUAAACGGAUGUUGGUAGGAUUAAAGGUUAAUUCCGGUAAUGGAUGGGGAUGCGUUCCAUUAGGUUGUAGGCGGGGUAACGGCCCACCUAGCCAUCGAUGGAUAGGGGUUCUGAGAGGAAGGUCCCCCACAUUGGAACUGAGACACGGUCCAAACUCCUACGGGAGGCAGCAGUGAGGAAUAUUGGUCAAUGGGCGCGAGCCUGAACCAGCCAAGUAGCGUGAAGGAUGACUGCCCUAUGGGUUGUAAACUUCUUUUAUAAGGGGAUAAAGGGUCCCACGUGUGGGAUGUUGCAUGUACCUUAUGAAUAAGCAUCGGCUAACUCCGUGC
rnacentral:rRNA from 1 species